rnacentral:lncRNA from 1 species
GGCCCUUGAUCGCUGGAAGGAUUCCGAGUUCCAACCCUUAACAACAUCCCUCCUGCAGCACAUUACCAUUGGAAAGUCCUACCUCAAGGAAAAGGACAACAACCUGUGUGGGUUCCCUCCCGACAACUGAAAUUGCACCAUAACUCCCAAGAAGAAACACUCCCAGAAACAAAAGGCAAAGACCCCUCUGAAACCAAAGAGCAAGUAUCACCGCCUGACACAUAAACUUCAUGACCUCGACAUUGAGACAAAAUCUCGCCGUGUGACCUACAACACCACUCAUUUAACUCCACCAACUUGGGGUCAAAUAAAGGUCUUAUCCCAUCAACAGAAAAAUCAUUAAGAGAAAAAUGAAUCCCCAAAACGACAGUCUGCAGAUCCCGCAAGGAAUCCGAAGACAAGUCCAAAGUCAACGACAAGCAAUGAUGGCAAUGGUGAUCCUAGUUAAUAAAAAGCGGGGAGAUGUGGGUGGCAAGCCACCCAGGUGCCGAGGCAAGAGACCGAGAGCACGAGCUGUUCCAGUGUAAUAAAAUAUAUAAAAUAACAAGAGUUAUACUGAUAUAGCUCAUAGAUAUGAUUAUAUAUAAAUACCAUUAAUCAUUAGUUUGUAGUAAUUACUCUUUAUUCAAAUAUUAUAAUAAUCCUCACUCUACAAUCAUAACCUAGAAAAAGGCAGGCCAUGCAGAGAUAGGAGCUGAGGGGACAUGGUGAGAAGUGACAAGAAGACAAGAGUGUGAGCCUUUUGUUAUGCCCAGGCAGGGCCACCAGAGGGCUCCUUGGUCUAGCAGUAAUGCCAGCGUCUGGGAAGAUGCCCGUACCAAGCGGACCAUGGUCUAGUGGUAGCGUCAGUGCCAAGGAAAAGCACCUGCUACUGAGCAGACCAGGAAAGGGAGUCUCCCUUUCCCCAGGGGAGUUUAGAGAAGACUCUACUCCACCAUCUCUUAUGGAGGGCCUGACAUAAGUCAGGCCUGCCUGCAGUUAUCCAGAGGCCUGACCGUCUCCCUGUGAUGCUGUGCUUCAGUAGUCAUGCUCCUGGUCUGCUUUCAUGUUCCAUCCUGUACACCUGGCUCUGCCUUCUAGAUAGCAAUAGCAGAAUUACUGAAAGUAUUAAAAGUCUCUGAAAUGCAGAAAUAAUGGUGUAAGCUGUCUCUCCUCUCUCUCCGCCUCGGCUGCCAAACAGGGAAAGGCUCCCUUUCCAGUGGAUGCAUGACCCACGUGACCUUACCUAUCAUUGGAGAUGGCUAACACUCC